AUGAACGCUGGCGGCGUGCUUAACACAUGCAAGUCGAACGGAGUUUUUAACGGAAGUUUCGGAUGGAAGUUUAAGGACUUAGUGGCGGACGGGUGAGUAACGCGUGGGUGACCUGCCUCAUACAGGGGGAUAACAGUUAGAAAUGACUGCUAACACCGCAUAAUAUAGCGAAACCGCAUGAUUUUUGCUAUCAAAUAUUUAUAGGUAUGAGAUGGGCCCGCGUCUGAUUAGCUAGUUGGUGGGGUAAAAGCCUACCAAGGCGACGAUCAGUAGCCGGCUUGAGAGAGUGACCGGCCACAUUGGGACUGAGACACGGCCCAAACUCCUACGGGAGGCAGCAGUGGGGAAUAUUGGACAAUGGGGGAAACCCUGAUCCAGCGACGCCGCGUGAGUGAAGAAGUAUUUCGGUAUGUAAAGCUCUAUCAGCAGGGAAGAUAAUGACAGUACCUGACUAAGAAGCCCCGGCUAACCACGUGCCAGCCGCGGC
rnacentral:rRNA from 1 species